AGCCCAGAGCCUGAAUCAGUGUGUGUGUUAGUGGAAGCGUCUGGAAAGGCGCGCGAUACAGGGUGACAGCCCCGUACACAAAAAUGCACAUGCUGUGAGCUCGAUGAGUAGGGCGGGACACGUGGUAUCCUGUCUGAAUAUGGGGGGACCAUCCUCCAAGGCUAAAUACUCCUGACUGACCGAUAGUGAACCAGUACCGUGAGGGAAAGGCGAAAAGAACCCCGGCGAGGGGAGUGAAAAAGAACCUGAAACCGUGUACGUACAAGCAGUGGGAGCACAGAGCAAUCUGUGUGACUGCGUACCUUUUGUAUAAUGGGUCAGCGACUUAUAUUCUGUAGCAAGGUUAACCGAAUAGGGGAGCCGAAGGGAAACCGAGUCUUAACUGGGCGUUAAGUUGCAGGGUAUAGACCCGAAACCCGGUGAUCUAGCCAUGGGCAGGUUGAAGGUUGGGUAACACUAACUGGAGGACCGAACCGACUAAUGUUGAAAAAUUAGCGGAUGACUUGUGGCUGGGGGUGAAAGGCCAAUCAAACCGGGAGAUAGCUGGUUCUCCCCGAAAGCUAUUUAGGUAGCGCCUCGUGAAUUCAUCUCCGGGGGUAGAGCACUGUUUCGGCAAGGGGGUCAUC
rnacentral:rRNA from 1 species